AUUAUACAAACAGAUGACGCGCAGUGUAGUUCGAUCGAAUCUUCUCACAUGCAGGCUCCUUAGACCCACCAUUGUUGUCUGAAACACGUUGUAAUAAACACACACCAGAAGACAGCCAUAUCCAUAGCAAGCAAGCUUCAGGCCUUCUCCGGUUCUUUCUUCUUCUGGGUCUUCAUCUCUGAACUCCGAACAUCUCAAUGGAGGCCCAAUGGUUGACCGCAACGAACAAGCAGGUUAUAUCCCACCAGCCGACUCGGCUUGUUGGCUCCCCCAUUGGAAACAUCCGCCCUAUCAAACCGUUCUUCAAGCCUAGUGUUGCUCCAAAUCAAGGGUUUUGCCUUAAAAUUACGGCUGAAAAGAAGGAGCACCGAUCCUCAUUUGUGCAAACAGCAGCAGUUCGGCAGGUUACCGGGUCCCUUACCCGAGCGGAAGGCCAUCGGUUUGCUGUGGUUGUGGCGCGGUUUAAUGAGAUUGUGACAAGACCACUGUUGGAAGGAGCUCUGGAUACCUUCAAGAAAUAUUCAGUUAAAGACGAGGACAUUGAUGUUGUGUGGGUUCCUGGCAGCUUUGAGACUGGUAUUGUUGCAGAAAGGCUGGGGAAGUCGAAGAAAUAUCAAGCAAUAGUGUGCAUUGGAGCUGUGAUCAGAGGCGAUACCACGCACUAUGAUGCAGUUGCUAAUUCUGCUGCUUCUGGAGUGCUUUCAGCUGGUCUAAAUUCAGGGGUUCCAUGCGUCUUUGGUGUCUUAACGUGUGAUACAUGGAGCAGUAUGGUCAUAGUAGAAAAAUUUUACAAUGAGAACUAUUAUGUAUCAAGGAACCAUCCAGUUCUGUAAUUUGGCUAUUCUUGUUAUCAUAUGAGAUAUAAUCUUACUCUUUUCAUUAUAAUAAUUGUAGGCUCUAAAUCGAGCUGGUGGUAAAUCUGGGAAUAAGGGUUCUGAAGCUGCUUUGAUAGCUAUUGAGAUGGCAUCCUUGUUUGAGCACCACCUGGUUCCGUGAUUAUGCUGUUCGAAACUUACUUGAAUGCUGUCCCUUUUUCCCCCAUGUUUUGUUUCUUUAGGUAUCAAGGCUUUUUUUUGUAAUUUUUAUGUUUCAAAUAAGAAAAGGUAAGACAUUCAUCCGGGGGUCUUUUGUUGUAAUGUGUUCUUGUACUCAAAAUGGCUGUGGUAAAUUCCUGGAGAAUGUCUUACCAAUUGCUAUGCUGUGAAUUCUUCUGCUUUGUUGGUCGUUGAAUGAGAAUUUUCUGCCCUCUGGACCUUGUUUGGUGAA